GACAGAGGGUGCAAACGUUGUUCGGAAUUACUGGGCGUAAAGCGCGUGUAGGCUGCUUCGCAAGUCGGAUGUGAAAGCCCUGGGCUCAACCCAGGAAGUGCAUUCGAAACUGCAAAGCUGGAGUCCUGGAGAGGAAGGCGGAAUUCUCGGUGUAGAGGUGAAAUUCGUAGAUAUCGAGAGGAACACCGGUGGCGAAGGCGGCCUUCUGGACAGUGACGUGA
rnacentral:rRNA from 1 species